rnacentral:lncRNA from 1 species
AUGGAGAAGGGUCUGAUUAGUCCUGUGACAUUUCCACCCACACCUGCAAUGCUUACUGUUCCUAAACACAGGUGGCUGAUGCAGGUGUACGCCCAGGAUGUUCUUCAGAGGCUGGAAGAAAUUAAAGCAGCCAUCACGUCCCAACUUGGCCGCAUUUUAAAAAUGGACUCUACGAAAAAAGUUGCCCGCAAACUUGCAGGGAGGAGCUUUGGAACUGCGACCUGGGUGACAAAUGUUGGAAAUGAGCAUGGACAGGUCAUCAUGUCUGUGCUCACUGCCAGUGAGGGGUUUGGCCUCGGGCCAAUGAUUGACGGGCUGGUCAGGAGAUACAGGAUGGCUGGGGUACCUCCUCCUGAUGUGCUCUAUGUCGACAAAGACUGCUGUGGCAACAGCUUUCUUAGGAGAAUGUUCGAAGAAUGGAAACAUCUGAACAUCCGGCUCGACAUUUGGCACUUUAUGAGGAGGUUUUCGGUUGGCUGCACAACUGAUUCCCACCAGCUGUAUGCCACUUUCAUGGGUCGCCUCAGCCACUGCAUCUUCAUGUGGGAUGAAGACAACCUGAAGGCCCUGAAAAUAGCAAAGCAGUCAGAGCUAGAAGCUAAAGGCCGAACUCCAUCUGAGGCAGAUGUACUCCGGUCUAUCAGCCAAAGUGAGCUUGCCCUGCACUGCAAGAGGACCACCCGCGGUGUUCGGGAGACACAGGUUCUCAUUGAAAGGCUCAUCCAGGGCUUGGAUGGUGACAACGGUCGUGACACUCUGGGAGUCCCACUGAUAAACUCAGCAAGAAUGAGUGAAAUCGUUAAAUCCCAGAAGAAACAUGUCACCUGCAUCCAGGAUCCACAAGGGAUCCAGCUUUACCUGCAGACGGGAAAUGUCCUGAAGGGAGGUCACCGUCUGCCCACGUACCGCUGUGCCCGAGGUUCUACGUCACUGGAGUCUUUUCAUCUUCACCUGAACCGUUUCAUCCCUGGUAAACAUUGUCAUACUUUAUUUGUUUUUGUUUUUCUUACAAAAGUAUUUUGUGACUACACUGAAAUAUAA